rnacentral:rRNA from 1 species
UGGGGAAUAUUGCGCAAUGGGGGAAACCCUGACGCAGCGACGCCGCGUGCGGGAUGAAGGCCUUCGGGUUGUAAACCGCUUUUGAUUGGGAGCAAGCUUUCGGGUGAGUGUACCUUUCGAAUAAGCUCCGGCUAAAUACGUGCCAGCAGCCGCGGUAAUACGUAUGGAGCGAGCGUUGUCCGGAAUUAUUGGGCGUAAAGGGUACGCAGGCGGUUUAAUAAGUCGAAUGUUAAAGAUCGGGGCUCAACCCCGUAAAGCAUUGGAAACUGAUAAACUUGAGUAGUGGAGAGGAAAGUGGAAUUCCUAGUGUAGUGGUGAAAUACGUAGAUAUUAGGAGGAAUACCAGUAGCGAAGGCGACUUUCUGGACACAAACUGACGCUGAGGUACGAAAGCGUGGGGAGCAAACAGG